UACGAAGGGUGCAAGCGUUAAUCGGAAUUACUGGGCGUAAAGCGUGCGCAGGCGGUUCGGAAAGAGAGGUGUGAAAUCCCAGGGCUUAACCUUGGAACUGCACUUCUAACUACCGGGCUAGAGUACGUCAGAGGGGGGUAGAAUUCCACGUGUAGCAGUGAAAUGCGUAGAGAUGUGGAGGAAUACCGAUGGCGAAGGCAGCCCCCUGGGAUAAUACUGACGCUCAUGCACGAAAGCGUGGGGAGCAAACAGG
rnacentral:rRNA from 1 species